AGAAGUAGCUGGAUCUCCACUCAGGCAGCAGGAAGAAAAGGCACUGGGCCUGGCUUGCCCUUUUGAAAUGUCAACUCCCUCCCCACCCUCACCCCCAGUGACACCUCUUAAUCCCUUCAAAUGGUGCCACUUCCUGUUGACCAAGCAUUCAAAUCUAUGAGCCUAUGGGAGCCAUUCUCAUUCAAGCCACCACAACUAUUGAUUUAUAAUUAAAAUUUAUUGUUCACAGUUCUGAGGUCUGGAAGGUCUAAGAUCAAGGUGCCCUCAGAUUCUGUGACAAAGCACGUUGAGAAGGUUGGGGAGACGGAAAAGCCACUGUCCAAUUCUUCUCUAAGGGUGACUAAUCACCUAUAUGCCUUUGUGAUCGAAUCAAAUCCGAAAGGCCCCACACCUAAUACUGUUGCCUUGGCAACUAUAUUUCAACACAGGACUUGGGAGGAUAAAUGAAUGACUUACAGGAACUGGAUACAUAAUGUCUCGCUCACAUUCCGAAGCCACUUCUCUUCUACACACCCUUUCACCUGCCACCAUCAACAGUCCUCAUUCCUGCUGGUCAGAGCCUCAGGUGUGAGGCCCAGGGAUAGGAUGCAGAGCCAAGUCUCAGGCCCAGUCACACCACAGCUCAGUAACACCAACCGGCCCUGACCCCUCCCCACAAAGCAAUCAGCUGGCUUGAGAACGAUGACUAAAAGAAUCAAUCACCAGCCUGGAGGCUGGCCUAUAGGGACAAGUGGAGUGAAGAAACUAACAGAUAGUAACUUACUAUUUUCCUGCCUUUGAGUGUGCCAUUGACCAACUACAGGAAUGGCAGAUACCUCUGGCUGGUAAAAGGAGUCACUGAAACACCUAUUCUUUCAGCAAGAUGUAGAAAAAUAUUCAUGUUAAUGCAAAAUCAGUUUUAUCACAGGACUGGUAUGAAAAUAUCAAAAUGGCCCAGGCAUGAUGCCACACGCCUUUAAUCCUAGCACUUGGGAGACAGAGGCAGACAGAACUCUGAGGUCAAGGCCAGCCUGGUCUACAGAGUGAGUUCCAGAAC